UACGUAGGGUGCGAGCGUUGUCCGGAAUUAUUGGGCGUAAAGAGCUCGUAGGCGGUUUGUCGCGUCUGCCGUGAAAGUCCGGGGCUCAACUCCGGAUCUGCGGUGGGUACGGGCAGACUAGAGUGAUGUAGGGGAGACUGGAAUUCCUGGUGUAGCGGUGAAAUGCGCAGAUAUCAGGAGGAACACCGAUGGCGAAGGCAGGUCUCCGGGCAUUAACUGACGCUGAGGAGCGAAAGCAUGGGGAGCGAACAGG
rnacentral:rRNA from 1 species